CAUCCCCGCAGGUGUCGGCGCCGUGCUCCUUCCCUGGCCCUUUGUGUCGCCCUAAUGCGCUUGCGCACUCGCAGUUUCCGGCAGAUCCGGAAGUGGAUCUCGCGGGCCGACUGGCACGCUCGGGUAAAGCCCUCACUCGGGAUGGCUACACACCCUUCGCCCCCCUCCAGGGAGAGCAGAGGGAAAGCAGAAACGGAGGAGAAAGAGGAAGAAAUGCGGGGAAUUAGCAAUCAGAAAGAAGAGCAAGGACUGGAAAAAAGGAUGUUACCAGGUUGGGGCCAAACACGCUGUCAGAAAAGGAGUAGAGAGGAAGGGAAGGAAAAUAAGCAGAAAUGGACAGGAAAUCUCAGAAGUGGGAAAAACAGGAGGAAAGAAACAGAAGGUGGGAGAGAGACGUUUACAGAAAGAAGAUAAUGAAAACUGCGAAACGAGGGUGUGAAGCUUCUGACUUUUCUAAUUAUGACAUCAGAAGCAACCCUUAUUCAGCCGGAGGGUUAACUGACCCUCAGUUAAUUCCAGCUCACCCUCUUCCCUUUCUCUGAUCUUGAAAGAGGAGAGUCAAGACUGAUCUCUUACCUGAGAAAGAAACCCAGAGGAAGAAGAAAGAAAGAAGAGAAAGGAAUGAUUGUUUCUCAGGUAAAAAGUAUAUUCAUGGUUGAUUGUUCUGUCCUCUCCUUCCUGAAAUGCCAUCUUUUGGACUUGCUAAUUUUCUCUGACUCUGAAGUGUCCUGCCUAACAUGUAUAUUCUCACCCAGGGCUUUCCCUCAGUUCCAUCUCCACAUAGAUUCCAUCUCACUGUGACCCAGUAACAUUAGAACUUUGGAAAAGGCUCCACUUACAUGAUUGUUCUGGAAAGGGUUUUAUACCCAGGUAUGGAUUGGAUAUGGGGAGCAGGCCCCAUGGUGUCAGCGAGGUUGGGUGGGAGUGACUGUUCAGAGACUUCAUUUGGAUGCCAUUUCAGCUCUUUAUAAACCAGGAGUAAGGGAACUGCAUAAGUGAUACAUUAAUGCGCACAAAUACCUGGAAAGCUUUGGAAAAGAAGACCUCUGGGGGGAACUUUGGUUGAGUUGAUAAUACAUUUGAAGCUAAACAAUUGAAUUGGUGUGUUUUUAGCUCUAAAAUAAUAAUUUGGAAUAGAAUGGGAGGUUCAGAAACAGACAUUGGGGGUGGAGAAGGUAGUCUUUUUUUAUCAUUGGUUUUAAAAUAUGGAAUCAACCUAAUUGUGUAACAGCAGGCGGUUCUUUAAAUUCUUCACAGUGCGUAUAUGUCAUGAAGACCCUGCUGUUCAUUUAGGAAUUCUUUUGCAGCAGAUGUUUAGAUAAAAAUGUGUGUAAUAGUUUGUUUUUUCAUUUAAGUUCAGGGUUAGGUUUGUUAUAUAGCUAAACUUGUGUUGUGGGGCUUUGUUGGAUAGAUUAUUUCAUCAUCCAGGUGUUAAACCUACUACCCGUUAGUUAUUUUGCCUGAUCCUCUCCCUCUACCCACCCUCCACCUUCUGGUAGGCCCCACUGUGUGUUGUUUCCCUUCAUGGGUUCAUGGGUUCUUAUCAUUUAGCUCCCACUUGUGAGAACAUGCAGUAUUUAGUUUUCUGUUCCUGUGUUAGUUCGCUAAAGAUAAUGGGCUCCAGCUCCAUCCAUGUUCCUGCAAAGGACAUGAUCUCAUUUUUUUUUAAAUGGUUACACAGUAUUCCAUGGUGUAUAUGUACCACAUUUUCUCUAUCCAGUCCACUGUUGAUGGGCAUUUAGGUUGAUUCUAUGUCUCUGCUAUUGUGAAUAGUGCUACAGUGAACAUAUGCACGUAUGUGUGUAUUCAUGCAUGUGUGAUGGGAUUGCUGAGUCGAAUGGGAGUUCUGUUUUUAGAUCUUUGAGGAAUCGCCACCUGGUCUUCCACAAAAGUUGAACUAAUGUACAUUUCCACCAACAGUGUGUAAGUGUUCCUUUUUCUCCAUAACCUCACCAGCAUCCGUUUUAUUGUUUUUGACUUUUUGAUAAUAGCCAAAAGGUUCUGGGCACAGUGGCUCAUGCCUGUAAUCCCAACACUUUGGGAGACUGAGGUGGGCAGAUCACCUGAGGUCAGAAGUUCCAGACCAGCCUGACCAACGUGGUGAAACCUUGUCUCUACUAAAAAUAUGAAAUUAGCUGGGCAUGGUGGCACAUGCCCAUAAUCCCAGCUACUUGGGAGGCUGAGGCAGGACAAUUGCUUUAACCUGGGAGGUGGAGGUUGCAGUGAGCCAAGAUUGCGCCAUUGCAUUCCAGCCUGGGCAAUGAGAAAAACUCUGUCUCAAAAAAUAAUCAUAAUAAUUUUAAAAUAAUAGCCAAAAGAUGGCUAUAAUGUAGCUAAGACUUAUGAGCAGCACUUUCUGUCAUCAGAGAGGUAGGAGCCAAAUUCUGAUUACUUGUUGUUAAAUAUUACAUUUCUUUUGUAUUAAACAUCACAUGAUAUAUAUUUUUUAUCGAUAAAAUGUCACACAAUGAUGCUUAGGGACUAAGAAGUAAAACCACGUUGUCCACCAUCACUCACUGUCUCCACCAGGAACUACUGAUCAUUCUUCUCAAUGGAAGUCUUAUAAAAAUGCAUUUAUAUAUCAUAAUUUACUUUUAGAAAAUGUUAAGUGAAUAUUUUGUUGUGAUAUUUUGUUUUGCAAAUUUAUAUAUUUGUAUGCUGUAUGUCUUUAUUUUGUUUUUAUGCUGGUAAAUAGGGAUAACUUGAGUUUUUCCUUUCUCAUUGGAACAUUCCCUUACUGAAGACAUAUCAGCUUUACAGCUUUUCUCUGUGAUAAAGAACCUGCCUUGGCUGCCUCUGAGCAGGCCAACUGUACUACAGCUGUGUGAGGAUUCCUCCAGGUUGGGCACCUUGAAGCAUGGUACCUGGCUUAAUAAUGAUGUUUCUGAGGAAGCUGAGACAUUGCACUUACUAAAAGAUACUUUCAAUGAACUAUCUUAACCAUGCCCAGAGAGCUGAAGUAAAUGGUGGACAAAGAACUAAAGGAAAGUAGGACAACAGUGUUUCAAGGAAUUAUCAGUAAAUACAUGGAAAUUAUUAAAAAGAAGUGAAAUAGAAGUUUUGGAGCUGAAAAGUAUAACAUGAAAAUUUUAUGAAGUUUCAAGAGCAGAUUGACAAUACAGAAUCAGCUAACUUAAACUUUAGGUUAAUUGAAAUUAUUUAAUCUGAGCAGAAGAAAGUGAAAAGAAAUGAAAUGUAAGAAAGCUUUGGGACACCAUGAAGCAUAUGAAUGUAUGCUUAAUAAGAAUUUCAGAAGAAAAAGCAAAAGCAAAAAGCAGAAAGAAUAUAUGAAGAAAUAAGACCUGAAACCUCCCAAGUGUGUAAAGAACAUGAAUCUCUCUACCCAGGAAGCUCGGUGAACUUUAAUUGUGAUAAACUCAUAGAGAUCCACAGCAAAACACAUAAUCAAACUGUGGAAGGAAAAGAUCACCGUGAUAGUAGCAAAAUAGAAAUGAUUUGUCAUGUACAGUGAUCCUCAAAAAGAUUAACAGCAAUUUCUCAGCAGAAACUAUGGAGGCCAGAAAUUAGUGGAUGACAUACUCAAAGUUUGAAAGAACUGUCCAGCAGGGAUUCAGUAUCAGGCAAGUGAUCCUUCAGAAUUGACCAUGAAGUUGAGGUCCCCAGAUAACAAGAGCUGAGGAGUUUGCCUAAGUGGACUUACCCUGCAUGAAAUGUUGAACAAAGUCUUUUAGGCUGAAAUAAAAGGACACCAGCAGUACUUUAAAGCCAUAAGAAUAAAUUCAUAGAGGUAAAAUACCUACAUAGGUAAAUAUAAAAGCCAAUAUUAUUGGUUUUUUAAAAACUUUUUUUGUAUAUGAUUUAGAAGACAUAUGGGAAACAGUAAUUGUCAGUGUGUUCCAAUCUGGCUAUAAAAUGCAUAGAGAGGUAAUUUUUGGCAUUAUGAAGAGAGCCAGCCAGAGCUAUAUAGAAACAGAAGUUGUUACGCAAUUGAAGCUAACUUAGCAUCAAUUGAAACUUAAUUAUUAUCUUCUGAUGUAAGUUUUAAUCGCCAGGGCAACCAUUAAAAUAACAAAACUAUAAAGAAGGGAACCAAAGUGGUAUACACAAACUCAUACAUAUACAAAGAAGGAAGAGAAGAAUUACAAAGCAAAAAAGGUAAGACAUCUAAAAAAUAAGUAGCAAAAUGGUAAAAGUAAUUCUGUUACCAGUAGUUACUUUAAAUGUAAGUGGAUUAAUUUCUCAUUAAAAGGCACUUAUUGGGAGAAUACAUAAUUUUAAAACUAUGAUUUCACUAUAUGAUGUGUGUAAAAGACUCCCUUUAGAGCCAAAGACACAGAUAGGCUGAAAAAUAAAAGGAUGUAAAAAGGCAUUUCAUUGCAGAUAUUAAGCCUGGCUGGAUCACUAUACAGAUAGCAGACAGAUAGGCUUUUCCAUCAAUAAUUGAUAACAGAGAUGUUGAAAGACAGUAUAUAUUGGGGUUAAUCCACCAAGAACAUGUAACAACUAUAAAAAAAUAUGGAUCAAAUAUCAAAGCCUCAAGUAAUUUGGAGCAAAAAUUACAAGGAGAUAGAUAGUUCUAUAACAUAAUUCAGUGCUCUCUUUUUAUUAAUGGAUAGAACAACCAAGCAGAAGAUUAGUAAGGAAAUGAAGAGUUUGAGCAACACUUUACACCAAGCUUGUCUAACCCAUGGACCACGGACUGCAUGUGGCUCAGGAUGCCUUUGAAUGUGGCCCAAUAUAAAUUUGUAAACUUUCUUAAAACAUUAUGAGUUUUUUUUUUAAAGCUCAUCAGCUGUCAUUAGUGUUAGUGUAUUUUAUGUGUGGCCCAAGGCAAUUCUUCUUCUUCCAGUGUGGCCCAGGGAAGCCAAAAGAUUGGACACCGCUGCUGUAAACUGACCACACUGAGCAGGCACAGAGAACUGCACUCAGCAAAAGCAGAGUGUGCACUCCUCUCAAGAGCACAUAGAAUGUUCUCCAGGUUAGACCACAUGUCAGGCCACAGAACAAGUCCCAGUGCAUUUUUAAAAGGUAGAACCCAUAAAACCGUGUUCUCAAACCAUCAUCGAGUGAAAUUAGAACAUCAGUAACAAAACGAAAACUGAAAAAUUCAGUUGUUUUUUUUUUUUUUGAGACGGAGUUUCACUCUUGUUACCCAGGCUGGAGUGCAAUGGCGCGAUCUCGGCUCACCACAACCUCUGCCUCCUGGGUUCAGGCAAUUCUCCUGCCUCGGCCUCCUCAGUGGCUGGGAUUACAGGCACGCACCACCAUGCCCAGCUAAUUUUUUGUAUUUUUCGUAGAGACGGGGUUUCACCAUGUUGACUGGGAUGGUCUCGAUCUCUUGACCUCGUGAUCCACCCGCCUCGGCCUCCCAAAAUGCUGGGAUUAUAGGCAUGAGCCACUGCACCUGGCUGCCCAGCUAAUUUUUAUAUUUUUAGUAGAGACAGGGUUUCACCAUGUUGACCAGGAUGGUCCCAAUCUCUUGACCUUGUGAUCCACCCACCUCGGCUGUCCAAAGUGCUGGGAUUAUAGGCGUGAGCCACCGCGCCUGGCUGAAAAAUUUAGUUUUAAAUGAAUAUUAAUUACCUUGUUGAUGUAUGAUUAACAUAAAAAAGCUAUAUAUGUGAUGUAUACAAUUUAAUGAGUUUGGAGAUAAGUAUACGCCUCUGUCAUAAACAUAUCCAUUGCCUCAGAAAGUUUCUUCCUGCCCUCUUGGUUAUUUAAUAAUUUUGUAAGAACACAACAUAAGAACUACUGUCUUAACAAAUUUUUAAGUGCACAAUACGGAAUUAACUAUAAGCACUGUGUUGUUCAGUAGAUCUCCAGGACUUUUUAAUCUUUAGUAACUGAAACUGAUUACUACCUCACCAUUUCCCCACCCUCAGCACCUAGCAACCGCCAUUCUAUUCUCUGUUCCUAUGAGUUUUAUUGUUUUCAGUUGCUCGUAUAAGUGGAAUCAUGUAUUUGUUCUCUGUGUGGCCUAUUUCACUUAUACUCCAGUUUCAUUUAGGUUAGCUCUUACAAAUAGCAGGAUUUCCUUCUUUUUUAAGGCUGAAUAAUAUUCAUGGGUGUGUGUGCAUGUGUGCGUGUACCACAUUUUCUUUAUCCUGUCAUUCCUCUAUGGACAUUUAGUCAUGACUUGGCUAUUAAGAAGAAAGCUGAAAUAAACAUGGGAGCACCUCUCUCUCGUCAAGAUCCUGAUUUUAAUUCUUUUGGAUUUAUACCCAGAAGUGGAAUUACUAGAUCACAGUCAUUUUUCUGCACAUCCUAGACAUUGCUUGUCCUUUUUUUUUUGAAUGGUCAUCCUAAUAGAUGUGAGAUUAAAAUCAUAUUGUUUAUUUGCACUUUCCUGGUGAUUAGUGAUACUGAGCACCUUUUCAUGUACCUAAUGGCCAUUUUUAUAUUUUCUUUGGGGGAAAAAUGACUGUUCAGCUCUCUUGUCCAUUUUUUUAUUGGGUUAUUAGAUUUUUGGCUCUUGAGUUGUAGGAGUUCUGUAUAUUUUUCGAAUAUUAACCUCUUCCCAAAUAUAUAGUUUGCAAAUAUUCUCCCAUUCUAUAAGUUGCCUUUUUGUUUUAUUGGUUGGUUCUUUUGGUUUGUACAAGUGUUUUGGUUUAAUGUAGUCCCACUAGUCUGUUUUUGCUUUUCUUUCCUGCACUUUUGGUGUGAUAUCCAAGAAGUCAUUGCCAAGAUAAUCUCAAGAACAUUUUCCCCUAUGUUUUCUUCUAGGAGUUUUACAAUUUCAGGUAAGACUGAAGACCCAAUUUACCUUGAGUCUUUAGUCAGUUUUGAGUUUAUUUUUAUUUAUGGCAUAAAAUAAGCAUCCAGUUUCAUUCUUUCCAUUUGGAGUACAGAUUUCCUGGCACUAUUUACUGAAGAGAGUAUCUUUUCUCCAUUGUGUAUUCUUGACACACUUGUCAAAGAUCAGUUGAUUGUAUAUGUGUGAGUUUAUUUCUGGGCUUUGUAUUCUAGUGCUUAUGUUUUGUAUGUCUGUUUUAUGCCAGUACCAUACUGUUUUGAUUACCAUAGCUUUGUAAUAUACUUUGAAAUCAAGAAAUGUGAUAGUACCAGCUUUGAUGUUCUUGCUCAAAAUUGCUUUGGCUCUUUGUAGUUCUAUAUGAAUUUUAGGAUUGUUUCUUAUGUUUUUGUAAAAGGUGCUACUGUGAUUUUGAUAGGGAUUGCAUUGAAUCUGUAGAUUGCUUCAGAUAAUAUGGACAUUUUCAUAAUAUUAAUUUUCUGAGUUCUUGAACAUAGAAUAUCUUUCCAUUUAUUUGUUUUGUCUACUUUAAUUUUCUUCAUUAGUAUUUUAUAGUUUGCAGCAUGCAAGUCAUUUACCUCUUGGUUAAAUUUAUUUCAUGUUAAAGUCACAUGGGGAGUAGCUGCUCCAAAACAUUUCUUUUGGAGUUGAUGAAAGUGUUUUUGAAGUAGACAGAGGUGGUGGCGUAUAGCUUUGUGAAUGUACUAAAUGCCACUGAAUUGUACUUUAAAAUGGCUCAUUUAUAUAUUUUAAAAUAUAUUUUAAAAUGAAGCCUUGCUCUGUCACCUAGACUGGGGUGCAGUGGCAUGAUCACUGCCUCCUGCAGUCUCCACCUCCCAGGUUCAAGUGAUCUCCCACCUCAGUCUCCUGAGAAGCUGGGACCACAGGCCCAUGCCACUGUGCCCAGCUAAUUUUUCAUUUUUUUUUUUGUAGAGAUGGAGUCUCACUUUGUUACCUACACUGGUCUCAAAUUCCUGGGCUCAAGCAGUCCUCUUGCCUCAGCCUACCAAUGUGCUGAAAUUACAAGUGAGAGCAACUGUACCCAGCCUGAAAUGACUAGUUUUAUGUUAUGUGAAUUUCAUCUCAGUUUAAAAAAAUAAAAUUAGGGAUAUGUAAGUUUCUUGCAUUAUCUCACACAAAUCAGUCACAACACUGUGGCCAAAUGAAUAUACCUCUCUUCUGUCAUUUUGUAUGAAAAUAAGAACCUUCCCUGUGUCUACUUGAAGUGCAUUUUUAUUUCAGAGACUGUUUACAUUCAGAUGUGACCAUAGAAUUCUCUCGAGGAGUGGGAGUGCCUGGACCCUGCCCAGAGGGCCUUGCACAGGGACGUGAUGUUGCAGAACUGCAGGAACCUCUGGAUGAGGAAAAUACCCCUCCAGAAAACCCUACCCACCCUCUUACACCUUUGCAUUUUCCCUUGUGAGGCUCUUGGGAGCCCCGAUUUGCUUGUCCGAAUCUGAUCCCUGUUCUAAAAGGGGAGAUGGAAACUGUUUUGAUUGAGAGUGGAAAGGCUUCCUAAUGUGGCAUGUAGACUUUCAACCUCCCCUUUCUCCGGAAUUCUGCCAUAGUCAGGUUUGAUGAGUGGUGGUUCCUGAACAUCAGGACUUAAAAACCUCAUGGAAACUUUGUGAAGUGGCUGGUGUCAUGGUUUUAGCCUUGUGCCUUUGAUUCAGUAGUUUUUCAGAGUCUGCAUAUUUAAAGUAACCCUUUUUCCAGACCCAUCGGUAAUGUCCUCUCUUCAUAGCUGAACAAAGGGCCGGGACUGUAUCCAGGAAAAGCUCGGCAUUCCAGGUUCCUUUCUUCUUAACAAGUUGAAAUCUUUCCUGAGCUGAAUAUUAUGUUCAUUUUGGAGAAAAGGAAUGAGUCCUGGACUGUGGAGAGUGAAGUGAAAAUGGGGAAAAAUUGGAUAGUCAGAAUGUGAGCACAAAUAAGCGCUCAGAUGGCCAAAAAUAAGCUACUCCAUUGAGUAUUGUUUAGAAAACUCUGCAAAUGGGAAACAUCAAUGGGGAAACAAAAGUUUAUUUCUUGUGAGCUGUCAAAGAAAAGUUCACACCCCUCCCAUUGUCCCCAGCACACUGUUAUUCAAAUGUGUGAAAGGUUGGACUACCACUCUCCGUGAUGCCCCAGCUCAUGCAGACACAGAAGCAAAGAUGCCAUCAUGGCCUGCAGUACUCUUAGUCCCUUGGUUUUGAGAAGGACCGAGGUGAUGGUUUUUAAGGACUCUCUUUUUGAAUAUUUAAUUUUGUUUUUAGUCUGUACAGAUCCAAACUGAGGCCUUUGUAGCCCUGGCUCCAGAACCGAUUCCAUUUUUAUUCCCAUUUCUUAACACCUGCAAGAACUCUUCAGGUAAAUGGGGAAAACAGUGGCUCCCCCAGAAUGUAUCUGGGGUUCUCUGAAAUUUUAAACACUUUCAGUCUCUCUACUUGUUCAGGCCUCUUGGCCAUUGCUUCCGUUCUGCUUUUGCCAUGUGUGUCUAAAGGGGAACAGGUAGACUUUGGGGAUUGCUACUCAGCAGUAAUGUAAGACUUGGCAGAUCCUCUUUUUGACUGCCAUUCCAAAACGGGAAUAUAUCUCAUUCUCUUCGGCUCUCAGCUUGCAGCCUGUGGACAGAACACACUGCCUCUUCUUAAGAAUCCUACAAAAUCCGACCUUUUUUUUUACCCUCAUAUCUUAUAUUGUCUCCCUUUUCUAGCUUUCUAACCUGUCCAGGAACUGAGAGAGACCUUGGUCUUCCUUAUUUCAUAUUCUUCUAAGAUUUGCCUCUGAAAGUGUCUUUUGAAGUACACAUUCCUAGAGUCUGAAAUUUCCUCCCUUUCUGCUGUGAUAACAACCCACCAGUAGGUGAUGGACAACUUUUGGCAGACUCUCACAUGGAAGAGGUUUUCUUGGUGACAGAAUAUUCUUGAAAGAGAACAUUGAUUAAUCUGUUAGAGUAUCAUCCUGCUACAUACAGAAGUGCCUCUUGAAGCCACUGAGUAGAGUAGCCAGCAUGCCCAUUAGGCUGGCAGAGAAUCAGGAGAGCCUGAGGAAUAACUGCUUCUGUCCUUCUGGGUUUUGUGGACUUUACAGUGUCUCCCAGGGGCAGUGUGACAAUGCUGAUUAGAUAUAUAAUGAUCGUCCCCUUGGAGUGGGCAGUACAAGGUGUAGGAUUAUCCUAGGGAGAAUGUUGUCCGUUCACAACCUUGUAUCUGAAAAUGUCGACCAAACUGUUACUCAUACCACAUUGUUCUUCCCGUAUGUGCAAUUGUACAUUUUUCUUCAGUGUGAUUUUCAGGUUCUUGUUGAAGGAGCUUAUAAAGUUGAAUUAUGGAUGCAUUUUUUUUUUUUUGAGACGGAGUUUUGCUCUUGUUACCCAGGCUGGAGUGCAAUGGCGCGAUCUCGGCUCACCGCAACCUCUGCCUCCUGGGUUCAGGCAAUUCUCCUGCCUCAGCCUCCCGAGUAGCUGGGACUACAGGCACGUGCCACCGUGCCCAGCUAAUUUUUAUAUUUUUAGUAGAGACGAGGUUUCACCAUGUUGACCAGGAUGGUCUCGAUCUCUUGACCUCGUGAUCCACCCACCUCGGCCUCCCAAAGUGCUGGGAUUAUAGGCAUGAGCCACUGCGCCCAGCCUAGGGUGUUUUAAACUGUGCUUAAAAUAAUUUGUUACAUGUUUUGUUGCUAUGUAACUUUAUUGAGGACAACUAAUCUCUGUGUUCUUAAACAUUUAACGAUAAUGAUUAAGAAGCUUUAUGAUGCUGUUUAUUAUUCUUCCUUUUCUUGUAAUAUUAUGUAUUUAAAUAAAAUAUUUAUCUUCCAACUCUA